rnacentral:rRNA from 1 species
GAUGAACGCUGGCGGCGUGCCUAACACAUGCAAGUCGAGCGAUCUCUUCGGAGAGAGCGGCGGACGGGUGAGUAACGCGUGGGUAACCUGCCCUGUACACACGGAUAACAUACCGAAAGGUAUACUAAUACGGGAUAACAUACGAAAGUCGCAUGGCUUUUGUAUCAAAGCUCCGGCGGUACAGGAUGGACCCGCGUCUGAUUAGCUAGUUGGUAAGGUAAUGGCUUACCAAGGCAACGAUCAGUAGCCGACCUGAGAGGGUGAUCGGCCACACUGGAACUGAGACACGGUCCAGACUCCUACGGGAGGCAGCAGUGGGGAAUAUUGCACAAUGGGCGAAAGCCUGAUGCAGCAACGCCGCGUGAGCGAUGAAGGCCUUCGGGUCGUAAAGCUCUGUCCUCAAGGAAGAUAAUGACGGUACUUGAGGAGGAAGCCCCGGCUAACUACGUGCCAGCCGCCGCCGUAA